rnacentral:rRNA from 1 species
GACGAACGCUGGCGGCGUGCUUAACACAUGCAAGUCGAACGGAAAGGCCCUGCUUUUGUGGGGUGCUCGAGUGGCGAACGGGUGAGUAACACGUGAGUAACCUGCCCUUGACUUUGGGAUAACUUCAGGAAACUGGGGCUAAUACCGGAUAGGAUCUCCUGCUGCAUGGUGGGGGUUGGAAAGUUUCGGCGGUUGGGGAUGGACUCGCGGCUUAUCAGCUUGUUGGUGGGGUAGUGGCUUACCAAGGCUUUGACGGGUAGCCGGCCUGGGAGGGUGACCGGCCACAUUGGGACUGAGAUACGGCCCAGACGCCUACGGGAGGCAGCAGUGGGGAAUAUUGCACAAUGGGCGGAAGCCUGAUGCAGCAACGCCGCGUGCGGGAUGACGGCCUUCGGGUUGUAAACCGCUUUCGCCUGUGACGAAGCGUGAGUGACGGUAAUGGGUAAAGAAGCACCGGCUAACUACGUG